GUUAUGAUCUUGACCUUGAUUCAAAUCAUCAUAGCCGUCUCUCGCUGCGGUCCAAGUCAUGAACUGAGAUUCAUUUUUCGUGGGUUUCACAGACUGAAUGCCUUGGCAAUUUGGUGUCUUACAGUGGCUGCCGUAUUUGCUGGUUUGACUUUCAUUGAGCGUUCUCCCUCUCGUGUGCUUCAGAAAGUGAUGGGAG